UCCUCUGACACAGAGCUCUGUAUGAAGUCCUGAGAGGUCCACUUUCUAAAAGGGAAAGAGUCACCGAGGAUCAAGCCUGUCACCACUGAGGCUUUGAAACCUGACUUAUCAGAAGUCUAUGCCUGCUUGAAAUGGAUAUACACAAGCAGUGUCCACCAGCAGAUUCUUCAAAGGAGAAGAAAGGGAGCGUGAGAGAUGAAAUCAGAGCGAAGAACGGAAAGAAGAGGAAGUGACUGUACUCUGUGCAGAGGAGCUAAGGGGCAGGUGGGCAGAAUGCAUAAGAACAGGGCUUCUUAGAGGCAUAGUGCUUUGACCUUUAGAGUACAUUACUAUAGCAACAAGUCUGGAGCGCAACUAUUUGCAUAUGGCUUGUCUUGCUGCCCUCAGAAAGGGAUUAAUGCUGGCUUUACAGAAAUAGCAGAUGGUUUUUAUGAUGCUGACUGACUCAGGAGAAAGACACCCAGAACAGCAAUCAGAAAUCCUCCUUCCUUCAGCUUCUCAGUUCUAAAAUGCCAGUGCUUUCACAGGCACCUGGAAGCUUGUGGCAUAGGCAAAAAUAAGGGAGGGGAAGAUCAAAGAAGUAAGCAGAGUUUGCUGAAUGAACAUGAGAAUGCAUUGGUACUUUUGAGGAACAGUUGCUGAACUUGAGUUCAAUGAAUGAAGCAUGGAGGAAUAGAUUCAAGCAAGGUGCUCCUCACUGCACAGAAAACUGUAUCCUUAUCACUGAUGGAAGCCCCAUGGAGGACGGUUGCUUUGGAAAUGGAGCAAGAACACAAUGCACAUGUUUUCAGAUAAACCCCGAGGAGACAGAAAAUCUCAGCAUGACAUUGUAUGGAGGAAAUAUCCAGGACACACAGCCAGAAGUGUAUCAGAAAAUGCCAGGACAGAAGAGACACUCUCCUCCCCCCGCUAGAAUUGUUUCUUCAAGCAGACUCUCCAAGCUUAAAGGCAACAUGAGAAAGAGAACAAUCACUGAAAAGAGGAGAAUAAUGGCUCAAAAAUUUGUUCUGAAACCAUAAUGGUAAUCAAUGUUUGAAAAUUUCUUCUAAAUCUCUCGUCAUCCUAUUUAUUUUAUAUGCUUUUUCUCCUUAAUUGAAAUCUGAGUACACAUUGCUCCAGUGAGGAUAGUUUAAGGUAACUAUCCUUGAUGUUCAAGCUCGACCUCCGAAUGACAUCAUUGCCCCCAUUUAAUUUAUUGUGAAACAAAGCGACACUAAAUUGAUCAGCUGGCUUUGGACCCUUCCUAAUUCAACUAGCAUAUUUUGAGAUAUUACCUUCACAUAUUCACAUACAUUAUUUUAGUGUUAAUCACCAACAAAACAAACAAACACAAAACCCAUACGACAUGUUCUUCUGUAUUUGAGUCUGACAUCACUGGACCUCUUCUGCCUCCCAUGAGAAUGUGGAAGUGGUAAGUACCAUCUCUCCAUCCUUUUUCUCAUCCCUUUCUUUACCUGUGGCUUGGACAGAUAUUCUCAUAACAAAUUUGCUCCUUGUGAAGUAGAUAUUGCAGAAGAGAGAUUUAAGAGGUAAAAUACCUAUGAACGAUGAAAACAGGCAAGAGAGGCAACUAAGGAGAGCUCACUCCAAAGAAGUCUCCUCCUUCAGCAUGGAGAGGCAGAAGGAGGACUUGGGGGAGGGCUAUGGAUUUCUCUGCCUUUCUGAACAAAGGCUGUGAAAGCAGAGUGCUGGGUUUCCUGUCAAGGCAAAUGGCCGGCAUGAACAGCAUCACUGGGUUUCCUGCUGAACUUGGAGCUGCCUGGGAAGAGAGGGCCUUGGCAGGAAGUGGGGCUUGGUCCUGAGGGACCUGUAACAGCCAGGCAUCAGCCAGAAGACUUCCUCAAGCCAGGUACUGCUCUUGGACGGAGACUGUGGUAGUACACCAUCAUGGCUUUCACAGUUACCGUUGUUUCCUUUCAAGGAUCACACCUCAGACGUCCUUUCCCAUGUCUAUCCUCUCAAGACUGUCUCAUUGUGAGCCUGACUUAUCGAGUCAUCUGAAAAAUACUAAAACAAGCAAAUAAAACAAGAUCUCCCAAAACAUAAAGAACAAACAACCUCAGGAUUUGUCUGGCUGUGAAACACCUUUAGGGACAGUUAUCCCACAGCUGGCAGCUAAGCUACAAAGUACGAAUCAGUUUUUUAUUUUUAUUUUUUUAUUUUUCAGUUUUUAGAGCCACUGGAUAUU